UUUCAGUACCAAAAAGAGAAAGAGAGAAAGCUGACCCAGAAAGCUUGGGAAGAAGAGGCCUGUGUUGUCUUCACCAUAGGGUGCAAUAAAGAAUGUUCCUGCAGCAGUACUGCCAAGUGCGGAUGCCAACAAGAUUAUGGAAUCUUCUUGUCUGGAAGUUUUUAGAGGCUAUGAAAGCUGUUAAUGUCUCUGGGAUGGUUUAGGUCCAGUCUUUUAAGAAAGGAGUAAGAGAGUCAUGAUUAUCAUCAGACGGUCCUUUCAGUAUGUAGUGCUACAGAAGCUACUUAAUGCUGCAGCACAGUUUGCCAAUAGCAUUCUGAGCCUGGGUGUGGCUGCAGAGAAAGGUGGAGGUUUUGAAGAAAACAAUGGGUGACACCUUUGGGAAGUGGCAUGACCAGGGGGAUACAGGUAAAACACUCAUUCACCCCAGAGCAUGCAACCAGCCCUUUGACCUCUCCAUAUACCAAUUAAACAGAACUCUGAAGGAGACACCACGACUCUUUACCAGGAUGAGACUAAGGGGAAUUUUUUUAAAACUAAGAACCAUCAGCCAUAAGGGGAUGGAAAAACCAUAAUCUGGGACUUGGCACCACCUGUGUGUAAGGUCUCUAGCAAACCACACAACUCCUUUGGGCCUCUGCUUCCCCACUAAUUUAUUUCCUCAUUCAUUCAGCAGUUCACGGUCCCUCUAUGUACCAGGAGCCACCAUUCUGGGUUCUGGGUAAACCUCACUUACAUUCCAAUGGGGAGAAGGAAGACAGAGAGAAAACUAAAAAAUCCCAAAUGUACUCAAUUAGAUGCCACUGAGGAAAAUAAAACAAUAAUGGAGAUUAGGAAAUGUCAGGAUACAGGUAUCAGGAUUUUUAAAUAGAGGGGUCUCAAGAGUGGCUUGUUUGCAGGGGCAACUUUUGAGGAGCAUAAGGAGGUGAGGGGGCCAGCCAUGCUGAUAUCUGGGGAAGGAGGGAGCUAGGCAGAGGAACAGCAAGGAAGGGCCAGGGGCUGGAGCAGGCAUGGCACGUCUGAGGCAGUAGCAGAGUGAGCAAGCGGGGAAUGGAAAGAGGUGUGUCUGGGAGAAGAUGGGGCUGGACUGUGCACCUUGCCAGACACUUGACCUUUACUUGGGAUGAGCUGGGAAGCCACCCAAGGGAUUCACAGGAGAAGAUCAUUUUGACUGCUGUGUGCAAAUGGACUGAAAGAGGGCAAGGGCAAAAGCAGGGAGAACACUGAAGAGGGUAAGACAGUAACUGAGGCAGGACGUGACCUCAACCAGGGCCAUGGCAAGUGGAGUGUCAGAUUCUUGGAGGCAUUUUGAAGGUAGAGCUUAUGGAGUUUUUCUAUAGAUUGGGUAUAAAGUGGGAGGAAAGAAAGGGGACAGAUAGCUCCCAUGUUUGGAGCCCAAGCUGAUAGAAGAAGGGAGUUGCCAUUAACUGAAAUUGGUUAAGACUGGGAGGACGAGGUUGGGGGGUGGGUUGAGAAGG
rnacentral:lncRNA from 1 species